rnacentral:lncRNA from 1 species
UUUAAGACUAUCUGCAGAAAGGUUUGAAUGCUUUGGACAGGAUAACCUAAUAUGCUUCACAUCCUGGAACCAAGGCAAAGGCCUUCUUUAUGAUGUCGAUAAGAAGGUGUGGUCUUGGAUUGCUGGGUGUGCUCUUCAAUCAUAUAACAGCCAAGUCUGCUUCUACGAGCCAAGGUUUGAUGCUUCAAUAUACUAAAGUAGUGUUUAACUUAAAUAUCCAAAUUACUUCUUAGGGGGACAUGAGCUAUCUGGAUGAUUUAGCAAUCUUGUUUCCUUCAAUUCCCUUCUGCCUGCUGUUCACCAUUGAAAUUUCCUUAAGCUAGAUUCUCAAGCUUAGAUUUACCCACCUUAAUCUAUCUGGUUAAAAGUUUCGAACUCGUAUGCAAAUUCCGCUAGUUAACUGAAGUGAGUAAUUGGAUGAGGUUUCCGCGUGAACAUUAAUGGCUACAGUGGUAUUCAAGGAGGAGGAAGAGGUUAAAAUGUUUCCUUGCUUGGACGAGGGAUCAUGAUGGCCUGAGCAUUGGGCAUCUUCUUGAGAUGACCAUGCAGAUGCACAAUUCGGAAGUACAGAUGUAAGAUAAAGUUUUGUUCCAGCUUAUGUACAUUGUUUUUCUCUUUGUAAUUAAUUAGCACAUACAUGUUGCUUUUCUUAACUGAAGUAACAAAAAAGUGUCUCUUCAUCUUACAUCUGUGCUCUUUAUUAUCUCACACUAUCAAUAGUAAGUCCGUUUGUUACACAUUUAUGGCGAUCAAGCUGUACGGUAGUUAAGGAAAAAGGGGCACUUUCUUAAAGGACUAACUAUUGCAGAGAAGGUAGACAUUACGUGGUUAAUAAUUGUUCAAGCACUUUCUUUUGUUUAGAAUGGUGCUUAUAACGGUUGCUACUGUUUUAAUUAUGUUACAUUUUUUAUAGUAUUUUGAAGUUGUGACCUUUUUUGUGUUGUUAUCUGCAUCAGACUACUCAGUAUGGUUAACUCACUUAUGGUUGUCUUUCUUGCUCUGUUCUUUCCGUGGUUGAUGCUUUGUGUUUCCUCAUAUCCAUCCUUAGCUUCAACUUGCAUUGCUCAGAUGCUUACUGUUAGAUAUAUAUGAAAUAUUUUUGGACCCUCUCAGACAUCGGUUUGUGCGUAUAUUAUCCUUAUCAAUCCCCAAUUAAGCUGUCACGUUUCACUUUUUCCUGGGUCAAUACUUAUUGAGAUUGGACGAUGGAUAAACUCUACCCUUUUAAAAUUGAAUUUGGAGAUUCAGAAACUAUCUUAAACGACUUUAAGUGAUAAAAUCUAUAUUAAAAAAAGGUAAAAAGUAAAAGAACUUAUUCAAAUUAGCAUGGUUGAAUAUUAGGUUGCAAAAUUUUACAUUUUCUCAGGCAGGACUCAUUUAAUUACAUAAUCUACUAUAAAUAUCAGAAAUAAUGUUUUCUGUCCUCAUCUGUCGAAUUAGAUGGUUAUUUUCACCCCCACAUUGAUGAAUUUGCUUCACUUCUUUUAGUCAUAUGUUAUAUGCUUCCUAUUUCCUGCUCAAUUGAACAUUCUUGCACAAACCAUGUUGUUGAUCACUUGAUAUACUGGCUUGGAGCAUCUCUUUCAAAUAGCUUCGUAUCUGUACAGCCCGCUUCCUCUCCUUCCCUUGUUUUUCCUUUCAAGGUUGCAUUUGUAGUACUUGGGUAAUUAGGCCAAGUAUGAACUAAGAGUGAAAAAUGAUAAACUCUAAGAAAUGCGUAAUUUUGUCUUGGGGGGGGGGGGGGGGGUGUAGGGAGUCCCUCAGUAUACCACCAACAGAAGCAGAGUUAGUAUUAGCAUCAGUAGUGAUCUCAUACUAAAGUUGAGGGAGGAGAUUUCCAGAUCACAAAAAUGGGUUGUUCAAUGAAUUUGGAAAUUUUAAGAAGAAAGACUUCACUAAUAAGCAACCCAAUGGAAAUCAGGCUUUUGAUGGGCGGGUUUGUUUGUUCCUGAAUAAUAUCCUUAUUUCUGGUAGAUGAUAUGUUUUCCUUCCUUAAUAUAUCCUAGCAAUUUGCUUGGUAGUUUUCAACCAUAUGCACUUGAAAAGUAAGUCUAGAUCUAAGGACUUGAAGCUAUACCACUUUGGCUUUAGGAUACGUUCCAAGCACAUGGUAAAUUUACUACUCUGUUUGACCAAUAUCAUAAAGGAUUCUGGUGCAUGGAUUUUCUUCUUCUUUUAGACAACUUUUACAGGAAUCUUCUUCAAAAAAAAAAAAAAAGAAUCCUUAAAACCGUCCAAACGCAAAGCCUAACGACUAAACACCAUUUUAGUUCAUAUCAAGUUCUGAAGAAAUUGAUCCGACAUGAACAUUGAUAUCCACUUGGAAGAAAAUAAGUUGCACCGUGCACGCAUCAUAUGGUUGUAUUUUUCAUUUUUUUUUGUAUUGAUUACGUAUCUCUUUAGAGGAAGGUCAAAGUAUAACACCUUGACACCUCAAAGUACAUCGUUAUUGAACAUUAUAAAUUUGUAAUCAUAUCAACAUUGUAGUUGCCCAACGCUUAAAAUAGGUUCGGUACAAUCUUAUGUUACCACUCUCUGUUAAAGAUAUUUAUGUUUGUUGGAAUCUAUUCUGCUCGUCAUGGUGGAAAACUGACACAUGGUUAAGGUGAAAAAGGGAGACAAGGGCAUUGGUACUCGUAGCCCCUUACUCAUCCUACACGUGUCUAAUCCCUUUUCUUUGGGAUUUAACUAUCUCCUAAUCGGCCUAAUUUCGUAUCACGAGCAAAUACAAUUCCUUCUUAUGUAUUUUGUCAUUUCUUGAUGUUGUAAUAUGCCUAUGAAGUGUUUUUCCGAUGCAUUUCGUCGAAACAAAACGUCUUGGUUUCCGUUAAGACCCUGCAUUUUGCCAAUAUGCAGUAAAAGUGAGGUUAAGUGAAACCAGGGGGAAAGAAGACCAAGAAACCGAGUUGGAGCAGGAACAACACAGUUUUCAAGGAAUAACCACAAGUAUCUAUAAGUUGGAGGGCAUACCCCUCGUAUCAUAAAGCUCCUUUCAGUUUCUUCUUUUUGUAAUUCCAUGCAAAGACCACGGGUUACUGCUAAAAAUAAUUAUUUCAAAUUAUUUAUUAUUUUAUAAAUUCAAGAUAAAAUUAAUUAUUUUUUUCUUUUUUUUACCCUUAGUAAUAAAUAUUCUUGAAGAUGGAAAUAACAUAUUAAUAAAAUAAAUAUUCAAUGAAGAGAGAUUUUUUUCUUAAAACAUAAAUAAGAGUAAAAUAGUCUAAUCCCUUUCCUAAUUAAUAUUUCUUAAGGGACGUGUAAAAGAGAAACACAACAGAUAAUUUAAAACAGAGGGAGUAAAAAAAUAUGCCCCCUUUCUUUUUCUUUCUACUCGCUCCAUCUCAUUUUAUGUGAUACACUACUCGAUACAGAGUUAGAACGAAAGAAUUUUUUUUAAGUUUAUAGUCUAAAUAAGUCAUAAAAUUUUGUAUGAUUAUAAAUCAUCGCAUUAAGAAUACAAUGAGAAGUUUAAAAUUAAAUUUUUUAAAAAUAUUACUCCUAAAGGAUAUGAAAAGUGCAUCAUAUAAGUGGGAUAGAGGAGUAUGCUUUACAUCUAUUUUGGACAAAAAUGAAAAAACUACGUACCCAUCCAAAGCAUGCCUAUUACAGUAGUUUAUAGUUCCACACACACUUUUAACUUUACUAAAGCUGGUAAUCGAAUCUUUGACUCAGGUCUGAGUACAUUUGCUGGUAACUCCAACUCCGUUAAUUAUAUACUGAUCUGAAUGCAGCAUUGCAGGUGGAGUGUUUAAUUCGUUUUGCUUUGUUUGAAUAUGGACGCGUAACAGCUCAUCAUCUUUUAUAAAUUACUGACAAAUUUUGAUUAAAAGUAAAAAAGUUUUGACUUGUUCAAAGUUUAGCACGCAGUAAUAUACAACUGCAUAUCUGUGCCUAGAAAAUCCCACCACGUUUGCUAUAGUUCUCAAAUAUCUACUGCCAUUGCACUCGAUUAAUGUGUCUUUCGCAAUUAGUGUAUGUACAUGAAAAUUGAAAAAUAUAUAGGACUCCUGGUUUUCGAUAGUAUAGUUAAAACCUCUACGAUGAGAGAGGAUUCUAUAGUUGUCAGCAAAAAGAAAGAUUCUAAUUAUAAUGAAUCCUCUAAUUAAAUACUUUAGUUGUACAUAUUAACCUGCAUAUAGAAGGGAAUUAAUGUAGAGUAUUCAUACAAAUGACCUCUCAUAAUUCGGGAUUAUGACAUAGUUGAUUAAUUGACAGAUCAAUCAAAUCCUCAAACUAGCUAAUGCUAGUACUUGUACACAACACAAGACUAUAUUGAUUUCACUUUAAACUUUGUUUCAAUCAAUUCAUAGUCGAUUAUAUACCACUUAGAUGAUUGAAUCAAGUUAGCAUCCUUUUUAUAACUCCUUUAUGUCAAAGGUAAAUAACGAUUAAAACCAAGACAGAUCGAACGUGAAAUCUGCCUUUGGCAUUCAUGUCAGAGACAAAUAUGUCUAAUUGAGAUUACCGCACGACAGUCAAAUAUGUUCAAUUUUUUCCACUUUUUUUUGGUACGAUUAAUCCUUGGGAUGAACAUGCAUUUAAUUCAAGCAACCUUAAUUUGUGAAGGUAUACUGCAAGAAGUCAGUACUGCAAAAUUGAAAAAUGUCUUUUGAGAGGAGAAAAAUAAGAUUCCUACAAUUUUUUUCAUUUAAAACAAUUUAUGAAUUGAGAUUUCCGAAGUACUGUAAGAUAUUACGGUUCAUAUUAGAAUAAGACAGGUGUCGGGACCUCAGCUUUGACUCAAGUUUGAUUUUUGAACUCUAUAAAAACCGAUUCUCCUAUAUAUAUUACUGCCUCUCUUUUUUCAUGAGGAAAUACAAAUGUUUCAUGCUUUUAACAAAAGAAGAAUUUUCUCCUCAGGAAUGGCUUCAGUUUUUAGUUUCGUUGUGCUGGUAAUACUCCAUGUUAUGAUCAUUGCUUUUUUAGUUCUACGACAGUCCUCUUCAGGACAUGCUCAGUUACGUAAGUACACUAUAUAUGUAUAUAUUUUGACAUUUUUACAGUAUUUAAUACUAACUGGCCAUUUUCCCCCCUUUCUGAAUUAGGAGAAAGAAGCAAUUUUGUCACCAUUUUGUACCCUACAGAGACAGAAGCAGUUCUUCUAAAAGACGUAAGUUUGAUUUUUGAAGCUUUCCCCUUUGAUUUGACAACGGAAGUAUAUUUUUUAUGUAAGAAUAUAUCAUUUUUCAGUGUUUGAUUAGUUAUCUGCGAGCUAGGAACACAUUUUCCAUUGAAAUGAAGCAUUAAAAUGAAUUCAACUAACAUUUGCGCAGAUUAUUGUUAAUUUUUCUUACUUAAAAAUUUCAUCAAAACUCUCUUCAAUAUUAUUAUUAUUAAUGUUUAAUGUUUAAUAUAUACAAAUUUUUCACAAAAUAUUUUCCACUCGUCAACCAGAUAAUAGAAAAUAUUUUCCAUGGAAAAUGAUUCUCAUUGUGCCAAAUACCGUCAAUUCUGGAUUCUUGAUUUUUACUACAAUUAAUAGUUGGAGUAUUUUUUGUACGCUAGCUCAUGAGCAUCUCUAUUGACAAAUCUGAACAGGAUUCUCCAGACUAUAUUAUCAUUACUUCAGCUGCUGGGGGAAGAAAAAUGCUAAUGGAUCAAUUUUCAAGUAAGGUAGUGAAGGAAAAGCAUAUGUCUGACAGAAGAGCUUCAAUUGUUUUAGGUACACAACAAGUAUAUAGCAAGUCAUUUUCUAGCCUUUAAUUAGGAUUUAGUAACUUAUAUCUACUAACACUGUUACAAAAAUUUUACACAUUAAUUAAAUCAUGCUAUAGAAAGUUAUUAAUUACCUUGUUUUUCAUAUUACUAGUUCCACUUGUUAUGAAUAGUUAUCUAUAAUUACCUUUAAAUAAUCUUGAUUGUGUAAGAAAUUUAACAUUAUCGAUUUUAGUUAGGUAAUAUUGAUGUUGGGCAAGGAAAUAUUUGUAUUUUUUGGAUUUUCCUCGUUUAAUUAUUUAUUUAAUGUUAUGGUUAUGUUUCGAUAUAUAUAUGUAUAUAGGAGAUGCUACAAGUGAAUCAAAGAAAGCUCCUCCUCAAGUGCAACUACAACAUCACAUGAGUGCUCAGGUUUUCUUCUCUCUUUUUCACAAACUUCCAAAGGAACAAAUUAACAGACACACAUCUCAAAAAAUUCUAUGGUUUUUGCUUAGAAAUUAAGUGAUACUAUAUUUUGAAAGAAAUUUAAGUGAUUAUAGAAAUGAACAAAAUCAGUCUAGUUAGCGUACGUCCCGACCUAAGACAAUACUAGAUGUCAACUUUUUAGUAAGAGUUUAAAUUUUGUGCACUCUUACAAUAUCAGCUUAAGUUAAUCACUUUGAAAACCUGAAAGAUAGAGUAAAUAACAUGUUAUAACAUAUGUUAAACUAUACUGAUCGUUGAUGUAAAAUGUUUUAUGUUGCCUAUGUAUAGAUAUACUCCUAUAACUUAUAUCCCUUUUUUUUAUUACUUGCGUUUUGAUAUACUGAAUUUAUGAUAGGUGGAUGGAUCAAAGGAGUUUCGUGAUGCUGAAAAUGAAGUAGCAAAACUUAUGAGCAAAGACUACAGCGGAAGAAGUGGACCUCGCCGAAAGCCGCCGAUUAAUAAUCACGAGCCUACAGACUAAUUAAAUUAAAACAUCAGUAAAAUUUCAUACUGACAUAGUGACAAUAUACUGUUUAAUUAGUAGCAGUAUUCACAUUUGGGCCUCACAAUUUUGACCCCUACAAGUGAAGGCCCAAAUAUAUUAUACAUAAAGAAUAGAUGAUCUGAUAGAGCAGUGUAUCUUGUAGAAUCAUGUUUGUUAUUGUACAUUUGUUUUAUUUCUUUCUUUAUGUAUUGUCAAUGUAAGUGUGUGUAUACGGUCGAAAUCAAGAUCGUCUACGACAUGGUAGGUCAAGUUCGGAAUAUGGCAAUAAAGGACGGAAGAUUGGCCCUAAGUUCCACCGGGCUAGAACCUGGGGUUGGAACGCGCGCCUUCGAGAAUAUCGAGGCCGUGAUCCCGGAAUCGAUCCUAGCCCCGAACGAGCUCGAAGAAAUAUUGUUACCAUAAUAGAAGACCGAGAUAUCCGUGACCGGUUGGAUAUUACGGCGGGAAUCUCGGCACGCAUCAAUGAGGAACUGGUAAUCGGCAAAUCAAGAGAUUUUUUUAUCUUUUAUAGAAUUGUACCUAAAGUAGGAUUCCUCUCUAUAUAAAGGGGGUCUGAUAAUUCAUUUAGCGCAUUGUAACACGCAUUCCAAAGUAAUAUAUUAUUAUUUUUCUCUUUAAGCUCUUAUUUUUCUGUAUCGUGAUACCGAUCAAAGUGCAUCUCACUCGAGGGUGGCUAACCUUCCGAGAUUGAAACUAUCCAAUUCGUGUGGUUUGAAUUUACUUUAUCAUUGCUUAUUUUAAUUGCAACUUAAUUUAUCACUUUAUAUCAACUAAUUUGCAGAUCCUUAAAACCGCUUACAAAUUCAAUUGUUAUCCGAUUUUGAGGAUAAAUAGUUUGGCGACUACCGUGGGGCUAAUGAUAAUAGUGGUUAUUUGAUACAAUUUUUCAUAACACACACUUCUCUUUACACUUGUUCUUUGAAGUGUCUCUAAUUUCAGGUUAAAGCUUAAAAUAUCAAACUCUCAAUCAGCGCCCCUGCAUGUUGACAAUGAGUCCGGCCAUCAUGGUGAAAAUAACAACAUAGUGCCCAGUGACGAGGUACUGCCCAUUAAUCCAAUCGGAAUUCCGGUCGCGGACCCGAUUGACGCUAAUUCACAUGUGGCUAUCAACAUAAAUCUGUCUACCGAUCCCGAGAAUAACGUCUGUGGUGGAGCCCGAUCGGCAACUCAAAAUACACAAAAUAUUGGAGGAGAUGGGAUCAAUUUACGGAUGAUCUUUGAAAUGUUACAGGCUCAACAUGCGGCGAUAACUCAGUUACAAAACCAAAAUCGCGCACCGAGAAGAAUUGAACCCGGUCCAUCCCGGGAAGUCACCCGCAGGGACGAACCGGUCGCAGAGAGGUCGAAUGAAACAAAUCGGGGACUAACCCCUAGAUCAUAAAGAUACUCGAGGAACUGACAAAAUGUGUAGAAUCAAGGGAGAAGAAAAUCGAAGCUAAUGACAAAAAGGUAGAAACCUACAAUUCUAGGGUCGACCAAAUCCCAGGAGCACCGCCGAUAUUGAAAGGCCUCGAUUCCAAGAAGUUCGUGCAAAAAUCUUUUCCUCCGAGCGCGGCUCCAAAGUCAAUCCCUAAGAAGUUUUGCAUGCCCGAGAUUCCUAAGUACAACGGAACGACCGACCCAAACGAGCAUGUUAGCUCCUACACAUGUGCCAUCAAAGGGAAUGACUUGGAGGAUGAUGAGAUCGAGUCUGUCUUGUUGAAAAUAUUCGGAGAGACCUUGUCAAAAGGAGCUAUGAUAUGGUAUCACUACUUACCUCAUAAUUCUAUAGACUCAUUUGCUAUGCUUGCAGACUCUUUCGUGAAAGCACACGCUGAGGUUAUCCAGGUCGAGACCAGGAAGUCCAGCCUUUUUAAAGUAAAACAAAAGGACAAUGAAAUGCUCAGAGAGUUCGUGUCUCGAGUUCAAAUAGAACGGAUGGACCUGUCACCGCUCGCUGAUGAUUGGGCCGUUCAGGCUUUCACCCAAUGACUCAACAUUCGGAGCUCGUUGGCUUCACAUCAGUUAAAACAAAACUUGGUGGAAUAUCCGGCUGUCACUUGGGCCGAUGUCCAUAACCGGUAUCAAUCGAAAAUCAGGGUCGAAGAUGAUGAGCUUGGGGUCCCUUCCGGGUCUGUGUAUCCCGUCAGAACCAUCGACAGAGUCAAGAGAGACAUUGAUCGUGAACUGAGAUCAAACAGGGAUCGGUAUGAGCCGUAUAAUAAGGACUAAAGAAGCAGUGGGUCCGGACAGAACUCUAUGAGAAACGAAAGGAGAAGUGAUUGAGGUCAGAGCAACCGGGGACUCAUUAGCAAAAACAGCUUCGACAGGCCCGUCAGGCCUAAAGAAGCGCCAAGAUUAUCGGAGUACAACUUUAACGCCGAUGCCACCGAUAUCGUAUCUGCCAUUGGAUGCAUCAAAGAUACCAAGUGGCCUAGACCUUUACAGUCCGAUCCAGCCCAAAGGGAUCCCAACCUAAUGUGCAAAUAUCACGACACUCAUGGCCACAUAACAAAAGACUGACGACAAUUAAGGGAAGAGGUGGCUCGACUGUUCAACAACGGGCAUCUCCGAGAAUUCCUGAGUGAUCGGGCUAAGAACUACUUCGAGAACAGGGAUUCUGAAAAGCAGACCGGACAGGAAGAGCCUCAUCACGUCAUUAACAUGAUCAUUGGUGGAGUCGACAUUCCCCAGGGCCCGAUGCUGAAGCACACCAAAGUAUCCAUCACAUGGGAAAAACGGACUUGGGAUUACGUGCUGGAAGGAACCUUGUCUUUCAAUGAUGAAGACGCUGAUGGGAUCGUGCAGCCCCACAACGAUGCACUGGUAAUGUUGGUACUCGUAAAUAAAUCUUGAAUUAAGUGUGUGUUAACUGAUCCAGGGUAGUGGAACAACUCGGCCUACAAGAUCAGAUCGUACAUGCGGUCUGAAUCCUGAACGGGUUCAACAUGGCAUGCUAGACCACUACAGGGGAGAUAACAUUACCAGUGAACGUUGCUGAAACCGUACAGGAAUCCAAGUGCUAUGUAGUCGAAGAGGAUAUGAUAUACAACGCUCUAUUCGGGAGACCAUGGAUUCACAACAUGAGGGCAAUACCCUCGACACGACACCAGAUGCUGAAAUUCCCAACACCCGGAGGAGGCAAAACGGUUUAUGGGGAACAACCAGCCGCCAAAGAGAUGUUCAUGGUCGACGAGGUGAUCCCGGCAUCCACACUCUCAACAUCGAAGGAUCUGAAUCGAACAGUUUGUGUGAUGGACUUCACGGGUAGCUGGGAUGAUCAUCUUCCACCUAUUGAGUUUGCAUAUAAUAAUAGUUAUCAUUCCACCAUUCAGAUGGCUCCAUACGAAGCUCUUUAUGGACCAAAGUGUAGGUCUCUUAUAUGAUGGUUCGAGAUUGGGGAAACUAAGUUAGUAGGACCAGAGUUGCUACAACAGGCUGUUGAGAAGAUUAAGCUUAUAAGGGAAAGGCUAUUAGCAGCACAGAGUCAUCAGAAGUCCUAUACAGAUAAUCAAUGAUGAGACUUGGAGUUUCAGGUAGAUGACUAGGUAUUCCUAAAGGUGUCACCGAUGAAAGGCGUUAUGAGAUUCGGUAAGAAAGGAAAGCUUAGCCCUCGGUACAUUAGACCUUAUAAGAUUAUACGCAGAGUAGGCCAAGUAGCAUAUGAGUUAAACUUGCCUUCCAAAUUGGAGUCUGUACAUCCAGUAUUUCAUGUGUCUAUGCUCCGUAGGUGUAUUGGAGAUCCCUCUAAAGUCAUUCCAGUUGACGUUAUUCAGGUUACAGAGCAACUAUCGUAUUGGGAAGCUCCCAUUUGCUAUACUAGAUAGACAAGUUUGGAGAUUAAGAACUAAGGAUGUAGCUUCACUUAAAGUACUUUGGAUUAACAAUAAUGUGGAGGAGAUGACUUGGGAAGCUGAAGAAGAAAUGAAGACUAGGUAUCCUCACUUGUUUCCACUUCCUGAGAAGUAUCAGACUGAGACAUCACAGCCUUUAGGUACGUAUAUGUUACUUGAUUCUUAUGUUAGAUAUUGUUAUUGGUCGUGUGAGGCCAUUGGUGUUAUUGAUGAUUGUGGCCCUGUGUGGAUUUGUAUUGUUGGGUUUGCUGUGUGACAAGUUGGUAGUAGUACCAUUACAUAGGAGACUCUACCAAAAUUUCUAUCGAUUUUUGGGAGUUUAACAUUCGAGGACGAAUGUUUCUAUAGGGGGAUGAUUGUUACAGCCUGUGCGUCCCAAGGUGACGUAAUGAAUAUGAGACUUAUUAAUCAUGAUUUAAAUGUAUUUAAAGUCAUAAUAUGGCUAAAUAUGAUGUUUGGAUAGAAAAUAUGAAGUUUGAAAAAAAUCGGAUUAAAGUUGCGGAAACACCGACUAAGGAUUUGCCAUGUAAUAGAGCUUUUUGAGAAGUAUAUUUCGUGUAUGAUAUGAGGUAUUUUUGGGAUAUUAUAUACCAAAUUUAAGGUCUUGGAAUUUAGUUUCCAACGCACUUAAAAGUUCAUUCAUAUGACACCCGGAUAAAAAGUUAUAAGCGUUGGAAAAAGGGCCAAUCAUAGGGUGCCAAGUAGCACCUUUUUGACUUUUAAAACAAUGGGAUAUUUACAUCCCAUCUCGUCUCUUUCUCCAUUUUUCCAGAGAGCUCGCCCAAAUAACACCCCUAACUUUACUCUUAAGCUCUCUAUAAGAGCUUCAAAUAAUAUUAUCAUCCCGGGCACGGAAUCAAGAAGUAAUAACAUUAAAACGAUCCUUACGACGUAAGUAUCGCUAUAUCGCCUCUUUUUUUUUUGUAGUUUGAGUUUUGGAAGGCACUUCAUAGUUAAGAAAAUGUGUACUUUCUGUAUUUAAGUGUUUAAAUAUCAAGGAAUGUUGAUAAAUUUAUUUCCUAAUAGUUAGAACUCACGGGAGGGUGAUCGAAAACCGUGAGUUCGAGUUAUUUGACUUGUAGUAGACUGUUUUGUGGGUUGUUUCGUGUUGCCUUUGGGCUGUAUAUUUUUCUACUGUUUAAUGGAGUUUUAGAGGACAAAUGGUAUGGAGAAACACUAAAUAAUGAUGGAAUGGUGGGUUGGUCGUUCGUCGUUAUAUUUUUUUAAGUUGUUUAACACUACUUUGGUUGUCGUUUUAUGUAUAAAGUGAUUAGGGUGUGUGGGUUAUUUUGUGGUAUAUUGUGAUGGAGAUAAGGUUGGAAAAUGAUGCUUACAUUUUGUUAUUAUUGUGUUUUUGUUAUUGUUGGUAUAUGGUGUUGGAGGAGGGCCUAGUUACAGGGGAGAUGCUGCCCAAAUUUACGUAAACGAGCUACUAGUUUAAGUUGAGGACUUAGCCUUUACUCAGCACUGAUUUUGAAUCUCCUAAUGGUGUGGUAGAUUUAAUUGAGCUGUUUGAAGAAUUUCUUGGAAGGUAUUAAGGAUUCAACGGAGUUAAGGUAUGUUAAGGCUAUCCCUUCUUUCCUUUUGGCAUGAUCCAAAUGAUACAAACGAAACGAGCAAAAUACGCAACUUUCAUAAAUGACUCUAUUCAUAGAAAUACUAUGAGUGUCUAUAUUAUUGAUUACCCAUGUGAAUUGUUAUUAUAUCCUCUAUUCAUNNNNNNNNNNNNNNNNNNNNNNNNNAUCAACUGGUAUACAUUGAUGAUUUUGCCCACAGUGGCCGAGAUGAUAUGAUGGGAUGCCCUCAGAGGCUUGAUGAUGUUAUGAACGCAUAUACCUAUGAAUGGUAUGACAUUUAUACGCACAUGCAUGACAUUAUAAAUUUUCAUGAUUCACAGAGCUAUUCAAAAUUUCAGGUUGAGUUCUUUACUCCAUGUUUCAUUCAUAUCUUUUAUAUACUACUGCCAUGCCUUACAUACUCAGUACUUUAUUUGUACUGAUGUCCCUUUUGCCUAGGGACGCUGCGUUUCAUGCCCGCAGGUCCCAAUAGACAGGUUGAGAGUUCUCCUAGUAGGCUAUCAGCUCAAUAGAAGGUGUUUGUGCACUCUACUUGCUCCGGAGUUGCCUAUUUGGUCAGUAUGAUUUGAAUAUAUAUUGUUUGGUAUGACGAGGCUCUGUCCCGACCUUUAUGAUAUUUAUGUACUCUUAGAGGCUUGUAGACAGAUGUCAUGUAUACGGAUACUGGUAUGGCCUUAUAGGCCAGUACGUCAUAUGUAUAAGUCAGUAUAUCAAGUUGGGUCACCCUAUAUUGAGUAUUUCCUCAUAUUUUAUUCUACUUAUCUCACGACAACCUCUCCGGCUCAAUUACCUGUGAUAAUAUGAUACAAAAUAUACGUUACGUUGGUACUCGAUUGAGUAAGGUACCAGGUGCCCACCGCGGCCCAUCGGUUUGGGUCGUGACAAAGACCAGCGCCUCUCUCACUCACCACCCCUCUGCCGCCUCUCCAACUCGCUAGAAACACACCCAAAUCGGCACGAGUUCACUCGCUCGAGUCCGCUGGUCCCCUCUCAUCUCACCACGUCAUUGUCGUGCCCCAUUUUUUUUUCUUCUCGCGAAAAGCGGGCUUCGACGUUGUGACAACUCCUUUUUAGAAUGGGAGAUAGAGUGUUAAAGGAGAAGAGUCGUCACCUAACGAUUUUUUAAGGUGCAUUAGGGCACCUAUUCUGCAAAUAACUCUGUUUGACUAGUCAACGCCACCAAAGAUCGGGUAAGGGCUCAUGUUACCUCAAAGAGAAGAUGUUAGGCACUCCUCGAGAUCCACAACUGUGGGUCCCGGCCGAAUUUAAGAUUAUGCUUAAGCUAGGUGAUCAAAUAAACAAAGGGAGUUUAGAAGUCACAGAACUUUAUUACAACAUGAUUAAUACAGAUCUUAGUGCGAACAUGGGGAUACAAUUAUUUAGAUCUAAUAAUAACAUAUAAAGAACAGGGGGGGUCCUAAGUUUUUUAGCCUAAAGGAUCACCCCGUGUAACAUAAAUAAUACUUCGUAACUCCCUCAAGAUGGGGUAUUACUCAUAAUAUUCAGCGGGCACAAACAAUCAUCUCCUGCUACCCGAUUACUAUGUUAAAGCUGUUACCUAAAGCGCACUAAUUCAAUUAUAAGUCGUAUCUGAUGCGUGCACUACCGGUUCCAUACCUAUGGUCCAGGAUUUAUUGGACCUCUAUUUUGGAUAGUUCUAGACCUCACUUAGGCUGCUCAGAAAUGUUAAAACUAAGCGACAUACAAAAACACAUUGGACUUCAAAUAUGGCAAUUUAAGGCUCAAGUUUGCCUCCACCCUUAAACAACAAAUGCACGCGAAACAGGUUUUUCAUGUUAGGCAAUUCAGAAUUAAGGAUCUUAAAUCUCUAUAAGCAUGAUUUCUAGGUGACAGGCAUCAAGGCACGCAAGCAGAUUCAGGAACCAACGAGAUUCAUAGACAGGAUUGCAUAGGUCAUUACACACUGGUUAUUGAGAAGGCAAAUUCCUCAAUUACUAGCCCUAUAAUUGUUGCGCCUAGGUGAGUUAUGGGAUAGAGGGAGUGAAAAUUCAGAAUUACUCAUACACUUGAUAAUGGCCUAAGUGAGUGAUGAACAGUGUUUAAAGGGCGUCAUUACCAGUUAUUAAGGCGAGCAGUGGCAUCCUAUAGGCAGGAUUUCUAACGAUUAACAAUUGAGGAGUCUGAUUUUAUUGUUAGACCUUAUAGGCAGAUUCUCUAGGUGAAAUAUGCAAUACCAUAACAAAUGAUAUGAUUAGAGUCCUAUAGGCAUGAUCUCUAGUAAUGCGAAUUAACAGGAAAUUCAACAAUAUUUCCUACGGGAAGGUUCUCUAAUCAACUUAUAGCUACAAAGAUAUUGAGACACUUAAGUUCAGGCUUUACUAAUAAACAAGUAGUGCAAGUGUGUGUGUUUCCCUAAUGGCAUGCUUUCUACAGUGUACAUAGAGAAUGAAUAACAUAAGGCAAAGCAUCAUUCAAUCCUAUAGACAUGUUUUCUACCCAUCAAACGUUAAUAUUAGAAUCUACCCCAUCCCUUUUUACUAACACCUCAAUCGUUUACACGAAAAUUAUUAUUACAGACCCAAAUUAAUAAUAAAGUAGUAAUAUUACAUGGCAAUAGACAGGCCUAUAGCAGGCCCAAAUAGAAUAACUAAAUACCUAGCCUUACUGGUCCUUCAAAACUUCUGGCAUAGCAGACUUAGACCUUCAACAAAGAACCACACGAAUAGGGGAGUUCAGACCCCUUUCAAUGAGCCAUAACACCAAAUAUUGCAUCACUUGGAGCAACCAACAUAGAUUACAGUACAUGAUAGGGAAGUAGAGCAUUAGGGAUAGUUUGGAGGUUAGGAGGAGUGACUAGGGCCAAGUCCCUAGUGCGUCAGAGUUCACAAGGGCCUCAAUUAGACCCUGAGCAGUACUCACACUAGGGAGGCCAACAGAGAACCUAGGUAGCCUUGGCUUUCAGCCGGCUAAGAAUAGGAAUUCAGAAUACCAAAGCAACAAGUAAAGAGAAUGGACAGAAAUUCCCAGAGUGAUCACACAACAUAACUGGUCAGGUAGACCAGCAAAAUUAAGCAAAGUUCAGUAGCAAAGCAUCACAUAGACAAACAUCAUAGGAAAAGGAAAACAAGUUUGCAAACAUACCUAGAUUGCACUAGUUGACAUUUAAUGGCCUAAAUUAAGUCAAGUCAAACCUAAGGCCAUAUCAAUACUUGAAGAUAAUGGAGGUAUACAUAUAUUGAUUAUCACAGAAAGGAGAAAGUAGCAAGUGAACCAAGGCAUACUGAAAAAGCAUGUUCACCUAGGAGCAAGGUCCUAGUCAGUUGAAAUAGAAUGUUUGCCUUUAGAAAAUCAGGGUAGCAAGACACAAGUUUAAAAUAGAUUUUUGGGCAGUAUUACAAAAAGUACACCAUCAUACACAAGGUGCAGAACUAGUCUUAGAAGAUAGGGCAUUAUCUAAAUACAAUAGGCAAAAACAAUAUACAACCACAAUAUUGAAGUUCAAAAUUAACAUGUAAAGAUGUUACAAGGUACAGAACUAGUCUUAGGAGAUAGGGAAUUGCAGAGUGAAAAUCAUAGUGAGUCAUGACAUGAACAAUACACUACUCUCAUGCGUCAAUUAACACAGAAUGACAUCAAGUUGAACACCAUCAUAGUUGAACCAAAAUUCAGAUACAUGUGCAGAAAGAAGGGAAGAAAGUAAACAUUAUGAGGGUUUAAACACUAACCAGUAGCAGAAUCAAAAGAGUGCAAAGUGUAAUAGCAAAAACCCAAAAUUCCCGAUGUUUCAGAGUUCGCAAGAGCCUCAAAAAUGAGCUCUGGGCAGUGCUUGCACCAGAGGAGGCUAUUCAAUAAUUUUAUAGUGUUUUAGGGUAACAAUGAGUGAGUGAGAGAGUAGUGAAAAAUAGUAGCCAAAAUUAGGGUUCAGAAAAUCUCUCCCCUAAGGCGUUUCAUGAGAGGGGUUUAUAUAGUGUAGAAAUCAACCAAGUAAACAUGGAAAAUAAAUUAUUCAAAUACAAAUAAGGAAAGAUAUAGUAGAAUCAAUUAGAAUCGGUUUUUAGGGCGUAAAACAAAGGGGUUCAGUAAAUCAACAAGGAAUAACAAUUAUCACACAAAUAAUACUAAAAAUAAAGGAAUACAUAAGAUGAAACAGAGAAUAAGGAAAAUAUCAUACCAAAAAUCAUUUAUAGUCAGAUUUUGGGCAAAAUAAAUUAGAAAAUAGGGAAACAUGGCAGAUUAAACAGAAAUAAGGAAAAGAAUAGUCAAACACGGAAAAGAAAAAGUAUCAGUCAUGAAUCAGUAAGGAACAAUGAAAAAAUUCAAACUCUAGUUCGAAAGGAAGCAUAGAUAGUCGAAGAUCUCGGUGAAUCAGACCAUAUAGAGUGCAUAUAGAUGAAAUAUCGUCGAAAUCUCAUAGAUUGAAGGCGGCGGAAUCCCGUUUAGGAACUGGUACUUGCCAAAAUUGGGGCAAGUACCAUAUAACAUCAUAAUCUUAUAGACAAUAACGAGGUAACACAUAAAAGGUAAGUAAAUCACAGAGGGAGUCCAUGAUUUACUCGGAUGUGGAGAAGAUGAGGGAGGCGGCUAGGGUUUCUGAAAGAGGGAGAUGGGAGAUGCGAGGAUAUAGAGGCGGCGGGCAAAAGGUGAAUGGGGGUUAGGGUUAGAAGUUAGGUUAGUUAAAGGGAGGGUUUAAUUGUGGGCUGUUGAUCUUGAGAGAUCAACAACCAGGAUUAAAGAAAAGCUGGGGCGGGUCGUGUAAAGCGGGUACCGACCGGGUUGGGGUUAGUAGGUUAUUUGUGUUGGGACUGGGUAAAUGGGCUAGGGUCUGGGGUAAUUGGGCUGAGGUCUGGGUAGUUGUAGGUCCGAAAAUUGGCCUGUUUUGGGCCAACUAUUAAAUACACAAUAAUUAUUUUAAAAAUAAUUUAUAAAAUAACUAAUAGAUAAUAAAAUGCUACUUGUGCAAUAAAAUGACUAAAAAUAUUAACUUAAUAUUAUAAAAAUAUAAAAAUAAUACUUUGGCAUAAAUAACGUAAUAAACGCAAUUAUUUGAAGAAUAUAGGUCAUUAUUGUAAAAUUAGAUAAAUAGCUUUAAAAUGCUAAUGCAAUUUUAAAAAAUAGAAUAGAAAUGUUUGGAACAUGUAUUAUGGAUGCAAAUAAUAUUUUUGGAUAAUUAAGUCAUCACAAAAUAAUUUAAAGGAUAAUUACUAGAUAUUUAUAUAAUAAAAAUAUAAGAAAAUUAAUUUGAAGCUCUAAAAAUUAUAGAAAAUUAUGGGAAAAUACUUGUAUAGGUUUUUAAACUAAAUAAUGAUGCAAAUAUGCUAUUUUGAUAUUACAUAUGUAUUUUUAAAAAUAUGAGGGGAAAAUUGGGUAUCAACUGUCAUCAAAAUAACAAACUUCUGACAUUUGAUUCUCACUCCCUCACGCAUGUUUUCUAUCUCUUGAACGAAUUUGGAUAAAUGGUAGCCGUAGGAUCUGAGAAGUGAAAGAUCCUAGGCUUUUAUUUGUCUGAUUUUGUUUAAAAAGAUGGGGAAAAUCGAUUUUAGGGGGGAGUUCUAGAGAUUUCUUGACUUGGUAAAGAAGGUUCGGGAAGGAGUAUAUAUUGGGAUAAAUGGAGGAUUUUCGGAAAAAAAUUCAGAGAGAGAAACUUGAAAAAUAGCUAGGGUUUUGGUGUUCGUCGAGCUUACUCUCUUUUCUAAUUUUCGGAUUCUAGUUAUUUCAAAAAAAAGAUGUUCAUGUUUGAGCGCAAUUAGUAUUUACGUUUCCAGAAACAAAAAUUCCAAAAAAGAUUUUCCAUUUUUCAGUUCUUGGCUUUUCGAUUUGUAUUCAGAAAUUACCAAGUUUGAAUUUUGCUCGUGUUUGAUUUUUGGUGCGAAUUGGUUGACUCGAUUCCUAUUUCGAGCUCUCUUGGAGUUUCGAUAAGGUGCUUGGUUUAGUUUGAAGUUUGCAGUGCCGAUUCGAAGUGUCGGUUGAGGUCGAAGUUCGCGGUUCUCGGACGAAUUUUGCUAUUUCUUAUUCAGUCGGAUUUUAGGUUCAAGUUUUGUAUCGGUCGAAUUUCAAACCCGCUCAUUGAAGUCCAUUUCUAUUAUUAUUCUCUAUGUUAAAUUUUUGUGGUGAAUGAGUUUGAAGUGCGUAGAUCUCUAAUAUGUGUCAUCUUGUUUGUGUGCUUAUUUUCUUGUUACGUUAAGUAGGUGAAUGAUUAUUUGAAGGCUUUCAUUAACUUUUCUGGGACAUUGAAUAUGAAAAUUAAGUCAUGUAUUUGUUUAGAAAUUUUUCACUAUUAUUGGGCUUUAUAAAUAUAGUUGCUAAGUUUCUUUUGAAAAACUAUCUCCUUUCAUAUUUUGGUUGAGUCAAUAUCUAACUUGUUGGACUAAUAUCGGCAUAGUACUUCCAUCAAUUAAUUUCCAAGAAUUGAAAGUGCAUUUUCAGGGUUUUCACUUCAUUUUAAUUAGUAAUCUGGUUUGAAAUCUCCAUGUUUCAUUGAUUAAAAAUAAUGUUCACGACUCGUGUUAUUUAUGAUAAAGGCUUUUAACUUUGAAUAGUUCUUGUUUGAUUUGGAGAGUAAAGUUAUUCAUGAGGAUAACACACUAAUUGGUUUGAGAAUUUUACUUCGUGUCAGUAGAGUAGGCAUGCCCUCGCUUUGAAAGAUAGCUUUCGUGUAUCUUCGUCCUUGGAAAAUUUAAAGAAAGAGAAUGGGGUUUGGUUAGGUUCUAAGCUCUUACAAUACUCUUUGAAUCCAGCACACCUUAUUUUCAUUUUUCUUUGCGUUGUUUAGUUGUCAUAAUUUUCUUUCCUUUUAUGCGUUUCAUGUGUUGACCACUAUCUUUGUGUAAAUAGAUGACUUGAGUGAAUUAUUUUAACUGAUUGUUCUUAUGCCGCGGGAGCUAGGUAAAAGAUUUAGCCCAUUAGUAAUUAAGUAUUUCUCGCAUGCUUUAGGGAUCGGGCUUGGUCAAAUGCAUGAAAUGAAAAGUUAAAAGAACAUGGCCAUGAAGCGAACAAUCUUUUUUUAUUUAUUUUAGUUCUCUUUUACUUAUCUUAUUUUAGUACAUUGUUCGAUAGUAGCAUAUUUUGGCCGACCACACUUGGUUAGGCAAAUAUUAGGCAACUUAUUUAUUUUUCUUUUCGAGACUAGAGGUUUUUCCCUUAGUUAUUAUGAUCUUUUCGAGGAAGCAUUAGUAUAGGCUAGUUUAAGACUUUUAUUUCCUUUCUUUUCCUUUUUAGGUAGGGG